UACGGGGGGGGCAAGCGUUGUUCGGAAUUACUGGGCGUAAAGGGCUCGUAGGCGGCCAACUAAGUCAGACGUGAAAUCCCUCGGCUUAACCGGGGAACUGCGUCUGAUACUGGAUGGCUAGAGGUUGGGAGAGGGAUGCGGAAUUCCAGGUGUAGCGGUGAAAUGCGUAGAUAUCUGGAGGAACACCGGUGGCGAAGGCGGCAUCCUGGACCGACACUGACGCUGAGGCGCGAAAGCUAGGGGAGCAAACGGG
rnacentral:rRNA from 1 species